rnacentral:rRNA from 1 species
CCUACGGGUGACAGCAGUGAGGAAUAUUGGUCAAUGGGCGCGAGCCUGAACCAGCCAAGUAGCGUGAAGGAUGACUGCCCUACGGGUUGUAAACUUCUUUUAUAAAGGAAUAAAGUGAGGCACGUGUGCCUUUUUGUAUGUACUUUAUGAAUAAGGAUCGGCUAACUCCGCGCCGGCCGCCGCGGUACUACGGAGGAUCCGAGCGUUGUCCGGAUUUAUUGGGUUUAAAGGGAGCGUAGAUGGGUUGUUAAGUCAGUUGUGAAAGUUUGCGGCUCAACCGUAAAAGUGCAAUUGAUACUGGCAGUCUUGAGUACAGUUGAGGUAGGUGGAAUUCGUGGUGUAGCGGUGAAAUGCGUAGAUAUCACGAAGAACUCCGAUGGCGAAGGCAGCUUACUAAUCUGCCACUGACAUUGAGGCUCGAAAGUGUGGGUAUCAAACAGGAUUAGAUACCCUAGUAGUC